UACGAGGGGGGCAAAUGUUGUUCGGAAUCACUGGGCGUAAAGGGAGCGUAGGCGGGUUUCUAAGUCAGGUGUUUAAUCCCGGGGCCCAACCCCGGACAGGCACUUGAAACUGGGAAUCUUGAAUAGUGGAGAGGUCAGUGGAAUUGGAGGUGUAGCGGUGGAAUGCGUAGAGAUCUCCAAGAACACCAGUUGCGAAGGCGGCUGACUGGACACAUAUUGACGCUGAGGCUCGAAAGCAUGGGGAGCAAACAGG
rnacentral:rRNA from 1 species